rnacentral:rRNA from 1 species
AUUGAACGCUGGCGGCAGGCCUAACACAUGCAAGUCGAGCGAGCGGCGAACGGGUGAGUAAUGUAUGGGGAACUGCCUGAUGGCGGGGGAUAACUACUGGAAACGGUAGCUAAUACCGCAUACCAUCAGAUGAACACAUAUGGGAUUAGCUAGUCGGUGGGGUAACGGCGUACCUAGGCGACGAUCCCUAGCUGGUCUGAGAGGAUGAUCAGCCACACUGGGACUGAGACACGGCCCAGACUCCUACGCGAGGCAGCAGUGGGGAAUAUUGCACAAUGGGCGCAAGCCUGAUGCAGCCAUGCAGCGUGUAUGAAGAAGGCCGUCGGGUUGUAAAGUACUUGCAGUCGGGAGGCGUUACCGACAGAAGAAGCACCGGCUAACUCCGUGCCAGCCGCCGCGGUAAUAC